rnacentral:rRNA from 1 species
CGGAGCGGCGAACGGGUGAGUAACACGUGGGCAACCUGCCCCUAGCUCUGGGAUAACACCGGGAAACCGGUGCUAAUACCGGAUAUGACCUCGGAGGGCAUUUUCUGAGGUGGAAAGUUUUUCGGCUAGGGAUGGGCCCGCGGCCUAUCAGCUUGUUGGUGGGGUAACGGCCUACCGAGGCGACGAUCCGUAGCUGGUCUGAGAGGAUGAUCAGCCACACUGGGACUGAGACACGGCCCAGACUCCUACGGGAGGCAGCAGUGGGGAAUAUUGGACAAUGGGGGCAACCCUGAUCCAGCAAUGCCGCGUGUGUGAAGAAGGCCUUCGGGUUGUAAAGCACUUUUAUCCGGAACGAAACGCGCAGGGUGAAUAGCCUUGCGAACUGACGGUACCGGAGGAAUAAGCACCGGCUAACUUCGUGCCAGCAGCCGCGGUAAUACGAAGGGUGCAAGCGUUACUCGGAAUUACUGGGCGUAAAGGGUGCGU